rnacentral:hammerhead_ribozyme from 1 species
AUUCAGUUGACGAGUCCUGGGACGAAACACGCGUCCUGGAU